UACAGAGGUCUCAAGCGUUGUCCGGAAUCACUGGGCGUAAAGGGCGCGUAGGUGGCCCGUUAAGUGGCUGGUGAAAUCCCGCGGCUCAACUGCGGGGCUGCCGGUCAUACUGGCGAGCUAGAGCACGGUAGGGGCAGAUGGAAUUCCCGGUGUAGCGGUGGAAUGCGUAGAGAUCGGGAAGAAUACCAGUGGCGAAGGCGUUCUGCUGGGCCGUUGCUGACACUGAGGCGCGACAGCGUGGGGAGCAAACAGG
rnacentral:rRNA from 1 species